rnacentral:lncRNA from 1 species
GAGCUUUACAGUGGUGGCGGGCAGCCUGCGGUGCGCACGGCCACAGGGUGUGUGAGAGGAUGCGAGGUUGGCGGAGAAGGAAGAGUUGUGUGUCUGAGGAUCGUGUGGAGUUGCGAGUUGGUGAGGUGGGCAGGAGAGUGCGCAGGGAAUGAGCUGCUUUCCACUUUGCCAGUGGAGACUGGCACCUGCCACUCCAGCCUCACAGCCAUGGGAACCUAUUUCUCCAAAGAGAUAGCCUCGCCUUUGAGAGUGGGAGGAUAAAAUGGAAAGGUGUUAAGAAUGGCGAUGGCAAAUUAGGGAAGUGAGGAGCAAAGUAGAGAAGUACCAUUGCAGAAACUGGGAAAGCUAGGACCAGCAAACGCACAACAAAUAGUAAGAAAUUAAUGACUUGUUAGUCUCAUUUUCUUGGGUACCCAAAUAUGCUCCCCGCCCCCCCCCCCACACCUACCCCAGGAAAAGUGAAAGAGAAGUAUGACUGAAAUUCAAGGGGCCUGCAACAAAGAGUCCCAAAACCACCCAGUAGAGAUUGCUUGUGCUUUUCCCUAGCUGUUUACCAGUGGCCAUUGCUCGUCUGGCUCCUUGGGGCAUUCAAACUUCUCUUGGUUUUCUUGUUUUCGCUGGUGGCUGAGCUGAGCUUUUUGCUCAGAUUUUCCUUGACGAAAUAAUAGCCGGGUUGGUCUGCAGUCUUUAUUUCCGAUUCAGCUUUUCUAUGGCAGGAUGUAACUUCAUAAAAAGAAACAUUUUGCCUUCCUGAUUUUCUUUAUAGGCAAUUCCUGUUUACUGAGAACUCUGUUUUAAGACAUGUUCAGAAUCAUUUUCUUUAAUGAUUUUGGUAAGAAACUCAUCCCUCCCCCUCAGCAAAUCUAAUCUUCUAAGAAGUAAGUUUAAGCGAAGCAGCCUUGGCUUCCUUAGGCGCUCAAGGUCUGUGUUAUCUUUCCUGCUCAGUACAUUUCCCCUGUAGUUUAAAAAUACCAGUCUCUUUUGCUGACUUUUUUUUCUUUGUCUUUUCCGCAGUGCUCUUUUGAGAAAUUUGCUGCUAUUCAGUAAAUGAUCCUCAUGUGAUGGACGAGGAAACUGAGGACAAGAGAAGGUGACACUGAGGAAUUCCAUGUCCGAUCUCUUCCUGAAACCUGGAGCAGAUGGUACUAAGUCACUCCAUUGUUAAUAAUUUCUUUGAGAGGAGUCUCAUUUUUGGCAUCUGCAGCAUAAUAGCUUCUUCACGUAAUUAGUGGACCAAUAAGAGGCAAAAUGAUUAAAUGACAAAUUAACCAACUCCCA